CUGCAAUGAUGACUUUCUUAGGACACCUUUGGAUGAAUGAUGAAAAGAACUGAAUGUUAACCUGAGCAGU